rnacentral:lncRNA from 1 species
CGAGAGGCGGCCUCAGGUUAACUUCAAGCAUGUUGGGCUCUCCAGGAGGGAGAAGAGGCACCUUUGCCGUGGGUUGAGGACUCCUAGAACCAACCUGAGACUCCGCGGCCAUAUACACCUUACGACGUGUGUGUGUGUGGCGGGAGAUGGGAGGGGAGGAAUCCUGUAGAACCCAGAUCCCAUCAUUCCAGCAACUGCCAGAGCGUUCGAGAAUGUCAUGUCUGUACCUGUCUUCUCUCAUCUUUUGUGCCAACUGUUUUAUCAAACUUCUACCCCACUUUAGGUCUUCCAGUUCAAGUUCCUUAUAUCCUUUUUCCAGCAAGCAUAAAGGAGUAGAUACCUGAAACCCUGAACUACAAUAUAUGUGAAAUACAGUGAAUGGCAGAAAUACUUUGAUAAAAGAUGUAAAUGCCUACCGACUGCAGAAGACAACAUCAACAAAGCACACUUCACAAAGAGUACAACACAAAUAUACUGCCCAGGUUCUAAAACAUGUAUAAGAGUUAACAAAAUCAGCUGAGGUUGAGCAGAAAUUGUAUAGGAAAAAAUAGGAAAAACACAGAGACCAAUCUCAGCUGCAAGAAGGUUCAGCUAGACACUGCAAGCAAAAGUAUAACUCCUGAAGGUCACUUUGAGAAGAUGAGGUAUCAACAGCCACUACUAUUAGGCAAGGUACAAGUAUCACAACACUAGUGCCAUCUGAGAAUCCAUGUCAACCCUUAGCUAAGGAAGUAGCUCCCAACCUGGAGAUCUCUGGGUCCUUGAGGACUCUUAAAGUAGUUAUGGAGCUCAUUGAACUAUUUUCAACAUUUCAAAAAGAUAUCACGUAGCAAUUGUACAUCCAUCCUUAAUAAAACUGCACAAGCAAACUGAAGAUACAGGAAAAGACCUUAACUGAGGGAUGGUUUCCUGCUGUGUCCUCGGAACCCCAGGGCCUGGUUCAUAGAGACAAGUAAGCAGUGACUGAAGAAAGUUGCAAAUGUGAAGACCUAGAAUUUACCAGUGAAUGACAAUUUGAAUGUGAGAAGCUUAGAAAAAGAGAAGAUGGUGGUCAGCAAGGGAAGAAGAAAAAUAAAAACAUGUGAAAAAAUGAGAGGAAUGGAUAUAGGCAGAGGACCAAAUGGCAUCAAACUCACAGCAAAUAGGCUAGAUUCACCUAUUUCAAAAGGAAAUUCUUUCUAGCAUAAAGAAAAGACAAAUAUUUAAGGUGAUGAAUAUCUCAACUACACUAAUUUGAUCUUUGACUCAAAUUAUAUGAAUGUAUUAAAUUAUUACCUAUACCCUGAAACUAUGCGCAUCUAUUAUGCAUCAAUAAAUAAUUAUUUAAAAAAAUAGAAAUGCUAGAACCGAAAAACUCAAUAAAGAAAUUAAAAAAGAAAAUCAAGCUACUGAAGAGAUCCCUGGGCUGUGAUGGAAACAAAUAAAAUGGCUUAUUUCUAAGGGCACUCAACUAUUGAGUAAGUCUGAGCCGAAAGGUAUAAAGUACCUUUGGCAAAUAAUAAUAAUAAUAACCACAAAAAUAAGCUUCUUAGAUAGCCUAUUGCUUUGUGGUUAUAAUAAUUAUACACUCCACUGGAUAGCAAGCAAUCUACUUAUCUACACGUGUAAGUUUGACUUGAAGUUUCUUCUAUUUUUCAUCUGCUGGAGUAACUCAAUUACUAGGCCAUCUGUAUUUGCAAAUCUGCAAAGUGAAUGUUGUCAUCCAGUAGCCUUGCCACAUGUGUCCUGAGUACUUUUUACAUUCUUUAGCUUCCUUGAUUCACUUCAGCCACCCUAGAAAUUACUGAGUUUCAAAUUAGAUUAAGUCUCCCUGAGAAGUGAAAUAAAUAUUGGAUGGAGAGAAGGAAAGAAGAUUCAGAUGGGUGGGGAUGAAGAAUGAGCCGUGUGAAGGAAGCAUGUUUGCUAAUAAACCUCACGGAGGAUGACCUGAGUACACAAUGCGGUUUCAUACUUUUAUCUUAAUGCUGCUCAUUAUAGCCAACUAUAAUCUCUGCCUGCCUGACAAUGGUUUGUGUAUAUGUCUGUUCGCCCACCUAGACCUGGAAUUCCCUGAAAGCAGAACCUAGUCUUCAUCUGCGUAUCCCCAGCUCCUAGAAUCAGGACUGGCACAAAGCUGUUACUCAGUAUCUUUUUGUUGAAUGAAGGAAGCAAAGACUCAAAUACAUUUUUUCAUUUUUUUCACCUUAUGAAACUUUUGGCCUCAUAAAACUUUUUGACUUAUGAAACUUUCUUAAGGGCUAUGAAGUAAGGUUGAAUGCAUUGCUUUGUGUUCAAAAUCCCUUCAGCCCCUGUGGUAGUCAAUGGAAAUUUAUAUAAUCUGAUUACUUAUUAUAUCACCAAACCUCCAGAGUUGGGCACAGACUGGAGGGUGAACCCACCAACUAAAAGAGGCAGAGGGACACAUGAGUGUUCACACAAGUGAUAAAUUAACAUAAACUACUUUAAAGGUUAUUUAAAAUUUACAUGUCUUGGAGUUAACCCUAAAGUAGCAGUUCUUAAUUUAGGGCUCAUGGAUCUUUAGCAAGUCCAAGGAUGAAUUUUAGGGGGCAUAUUUAUGAACCACAAAAACAAACAUCAAAGACAAAAUGAGUUAUACAAAGACAUGUGUUUUGGAAGGGAGGUGAUCUACAGCUGUCAUUAGAUUAUUGAAGGAGCCUAUGAUCCAAAAAUAAUAUAAUUCAUAACUUCAAACAGAUAUUUUCAGAGUAUGACAAGAAAUAUGCACAAGGAUGUUCAUCAUGGCAUAGAGAGAGUGGAAAAUUGGAAGUAAUCCAAAUGGAUUUCAAUAAAGGAGUGUUGAGCACAUAAAUAAAACAUAUAUGAUAUGCUGACUGCAGGGAGCAAGUGCAGACACCGGGAGACCUGUGGGAAGCUGCUGGAGUGACCCCGGAAAACCACGAUGCGGGUUCUGAAGAGGCAGGGGCAGUGGAGAUAGCUCCCUAUCUCUGCGAUAGUGAGAUGACAGAUUCUGAGUAUAUGUUCAAGGUGGAACCAAUACAAUUUGCUGAAAGAUUGGAUUGCAGUGUGAGAGAAAGAGAGGAGCUGAAGAUGACUUCAAGGUUCUAGACCUUUUGGAAGGAAGGA